UACGGGGGGUGCGAGCGUUGUCCGGAAUUAUUGGGCGUAAAGGGCUCGUAGGCGGUCUGUUGCGUCGGGAGUGAAAACUUACAGCUUAACUGUGAGCGUGCUUCUGAUACGGGCAGACUUGAGGUAUUCAGGGGAGAACGGAAUUCCUGGUGUAGCGGUGAAAUGCGCAGAUAUCAGGAGGAACACCGGUGGCGAAGGCGGUUCUCUGGGAAUAUCCUGACGCUGAGGAGCGAAAGCUAGGGGAGCAAACGGG
rnacentral:rRNA from 1 species